AGAAGAAGAAAAAAAAAAUAUCGUCCAGAUCGUUGGAACAUUUCGAAGGAAUAGGCUGGCAACAACCGUAAACGUCUGGCUCGGGCGCAAAUUUCGCGGGAUGAUUUACGAAGUAUGCGCGAGGCGAGAAGCGCGGAGAGAGAAAGAGAAUCGCGCGAGA